UUUUUUUUUUUUAUAACUCUGGUAUCUGGACAGUCACAUUCUCAACUAUCCCCCGAAAGGGGUCCAGCGCCCCAACGGAAGGGAUGUUAAAUCCGUUGUGGACAAGGCUCGAAUCCGGGUGGCGGGCAGUACAGCUGUACCUCCUUUACCACCAAGCUACGAGCGCUUGGUUUCCUCUGAUUGUUUUCUACGUACUUUUAGUUUUUAAUUAAUUAAUAUAUUGUUGUAUCCAAAUGAAAUGAGAGUGGUAUUUAUUUAUAGAUAGAUAAGAAAAAAUCUUGAAUUUUGAUAUAAUUUUUUAUUAUUUUUAAAAAAGUUUUAUUAUAUAAAAAAUACAUUUGAAUUAAUUAAUAUAUUGUUUCCAUCACGCAGACGAGAUUUGGCUAUUUCUUGUUAUCUACUUAUGGAGGAAAGGGAUACGGGGAAAUUUCCGCUACUUUAAAUAAACUGAUAAAAUAUUUUCUGUUAUAAAUUAAGCAUUGAAAUGAUCAUCCACUUCUUUACCAAACUCAAGCACUAUGAUCAUCCACUCAUUUACCAAAUCAAGCACUAUGAUCAUCUACUCAUCAAACACUAUGAUCACCCACUCAUUUACCAAAUUAAGCACUAUCUUUGUUAUUUUAUGUAUUGUUGUUCACUAUAAAUACAAUCACUCA
rnacentral:lncRNA from 1 species